AACGAACGCUGGCGGCGUGGAUAAGACAUGCAAGUCGAGCGGAGGGUUUUUGAAGCUUGCUUUAAGAAUCCUUAGUGGCGAACGGGUGAGUAACACGUGAGUUACCUGCCCCGAAGUGGGAGAUAACCCGGAGCUAAUACCGGAUAGUAUCUUGAACCGCAUGGUUCAAGUUGGAAAGACGGUUUCGGCUGUCACUUACAGAUGGGCCCGUGGCGCAUUAGCUAGUUGGUGAGGUAAUGGCUCACCAAGGCAACGAUGCGUAGCCGACCUGAGAGGGUGAUCGGUCACACUGGGACUGAGACACGGCCCAGACUCCUACGGGAGGCAGCAGUAGGGAAUCUUCCGCAAUGGACGAAAGUCUGACGGAGCAACGCCGCGUGAGUGAUGAAGGUUUUCGGAUCGUAAAACUCUGUUGUUAGGGAAGAACAAGUGCGAGAGUAACUGCUCGCACCUUGACGGUACCUAACCAGAAAGCCACGGCUAACUACGUGCCAGCAGCCGCCGUAAAAC
rnacentral:rRNA from 1 species